ACGUCACAAAACGCUCGUUUUACAUCUAACUCUUAGCGCAUCUCUCCGAUUCUGAUCGCGCGGACCUGUAGAGAUGUGUUACGUACUAUUCGACCAAGGCCCGGUUCCUGGAAGCUCAGUUAGAAGUCAUAGGCCCCAGCAUGGCUGCAUCCCACUCCUCCUCAACCUUAGAAAGAAGGCCUGGGGCCACAGCGAAUUCCCCCUCACUGAACUGAUUAGCAUGUUUUAACAUCACCAAGGGACAAGAGUUCCCUGUGACGCCACAACUCUUACCCGUCACAGGAAGCCUAAUCAGAAAUCAGGGUAAAAACGCAAGGGCCUAGGCUGAUUUUAGUAGAUUGAAACGUUGUAAAAAAACACCUUAGACUUGUAAUAUUCAUUCUGUGAGGUGCAACUAAUCGUUUUCCAUACACUUGAUAAUGGCUAUCAAAUAAAGCAGUAAAAACUUUAAAAUACAAAAA